rnacentral:lncRNA from 1 species
GUGAGACGACUUAAUACUUAUUCAGAACGUGAGAAGUUGUAACAUAGGUAAAUCAUUUCAUCUGAUGAGUCAAUAAUCAACGUUAAGCUAGCUUCGAAAAUUACCAAUGAUUCAUAGCUAUAUUUUGGAUAACCAUGUUGGAUAACCUUAAUGUUUUUCAUCAACUCACAGUCUAGUAAACGUGAAAGUCAUGCAACCUACCGUCAACUAUUUUGUUCAAACUCAUUGUAUUCUACUGAAUGUGUCAUCGAAAUGAUACGGGAUUAAUCUUAAUUAUCAGCUGUUUCUAUUGAACUUGCUAGAUCACCGACCCCAGCAUGGAACAAUCUCUCAUUCCAUCUUAUAGAGAAUCUUGGAUAACUGAUUCGUGGUUUCAUGUGUAUAAAAGUUCACUUGUCAUGUUACUGAACUUUAUUAAUUGCAGUCUAAUAUGAAUUUUUGUUUUAUUUACAGGUUUCUAAAUUGGCACGACUGACCAUAUGAGAAGUUAUGUCCUUCCAAGAUAAGAAGAUUCCUUGUUUGCUAACCCGUUAUUGGCUGCUACCCUUGAAUCUCCAUAUUUGUCAACAACAAAAAAAGAGGUUAAAUAUUGUGAUCAUGCUAUCAUCAUUAUGUUGCCUAUAAGACCAAAUGUGGGGCAUCUGGUUAUCCCUCCGAAAUAAGGCAAUGACCACACGUUCAACGCGGAUCAUUCGCUUUGUUGUCAUCGAACUUGACUCAUUCCAUCUUCUGGAUUGCUUAGGAAAGCUGAUUGGUGUUACCUGUCCAUUUAGGUAAUGACCGAGAAGAUGCGGCCUACAACAUGAACAUAAUUUAGGCGGCCAUCAUCAUUCGACUACCUAACCGGCUUCUACUACCCUGCUCUCAACACAGCACGGAGUUUUACCCUUUAGAUUUUUGGCUGUUCGCGAUGUGUGAUGGCGUUUCCUUGGACGAGAUGAUUUUAGCGAGAAAAAUAUUGCGCGAGUAUAUACUUAAAACUGUUUAAUUAUUCUUUUACUUAUGUUUUUUUUUUUUUUUUCAUUUACAGUUUCUAACCUUCAGGUUCCUAAAUAUGAAAAGGUAAUCCUUCGCUACUGAUCAUGGACUUCAUUGGUGAAACUGAAAACCGACGAGAGAAUGAUGUAAUCCAAGACUGAUAAAUUGUGUAGUUAGAUUAAAUUAAAAGUGCAUUUCUGGGCUCCCUUCUUUUCUGUGGCCCCGUUUCCCUAUAUAACCACUAACCAACGCCCGCCGGUGGUCACU